rnacentral:lncRNA from 1 species
AUGGGCCUCUGUCGCUUCCUGUGUUUUGCAGUGCGAAGGCUCUGCAGAAGAUCAGGACCUCCUUUCUCGCUGUUCUCCCCUACGGAAAGCCUGGGGGACAUACUGUACAGGAAAACCAAGCAUGUGUUUGACUACACAGUCACGAACAUGAAAGACAAAAAGCCCGAUGUUUCAAGGUGUGGUUCCAAUCUAAACCAAUGUGUUAAACCAGCCCUUCCAGUACGGAAGGGAUUCAAUGUAUCCACAUCUAGGUACAGCCAGAGAAGGGAACAAUCAAUUGAUCAGAUGACGGUGAUCAGAAAAGAUCAUGUCGGUAGGCCUUUACUAAUGCUGAAAGGCAAUGCAAGUCUAACCAACAGUGAUGGAAGCAACAACACGGAUUCAUUUGCUUAUUCACCCAGACUCACAAAGGUAUCAGAACCCUUUAUUCAUAUUAUGUUGGUAUUGAUAUAG